CGGCGUCGUGCGUGAGACAUCACCUGACGUCACGAUCGAUAUGAUGUCCAGGUAAAACGCGGUUGUGUCAACGGCGUUUCAGUUAGAUCAUGGCUGAUUUAUCUUCACUUCUUCAGUGUCAAUCGUUUGUUCCAUGUGGUUAUCGUCUUGGGAAAGUUCACAAAAGUCUGCGAAGUUUGUGAUUUGCACAAGAACAGUUUAAUUUGAUUCGCUUCAUGUGCUUCCGGAAUCAUCAUUUCAACACUCAGAUUUUUUUCGCCUUGGGACAAUACAGUACUAACUUUUUUCUAGGAUGUGGAGUAUUUUGUCAGAAUCAACAGCUGAUAAUUCUCCAGCAACUAUCUUUUAUCAGUUUAAUUUUCUUUUUUCUCACAAAAUCCUUGUAUGUAAAGUGAUUCAGCUUGCUGCAAUUACAGUCUGCUUUCCCUGUGCUAAACAUACUUUCUUUUCUUUCUUGUGUUGUCCUCCUUGUAUUUAAAUCCAGUACUGAAAACUGGAUUUUUAUGUUGUCCUUUCCUCAAAUCAUCCUUCCUUUCAGUUGUCGUGUGCUUGGAAGAUUGGGAUUGUCUCUCAACAUAAUACAUAAUUUCAUCAGUUGUCCUAUCAAUACACUUCAAUUGAUGAUUAAACACUUCAGAGAUUCUACACAUCAACAGUUUCCUUAAUAAUAGGUUUCUCUUCUCUCAGCAGACAUACACUCAAAGCAGAAUCACUUCUUUCUAGGACUAUCUUAUCUCUGAUGCAAUCAUCGUUCAGUUGCCCUGACUCAUAAGAUUCAACUAGACAUUUCAUUGCCGUCAGUAUUCUUCUUGCCUUCCUGGUCUCUAGUGUUAAACACAUAGCAUUUAUAAAUAACAUGAGCAGAGUAUUUAAAUUGGGUCUUCAAAACCUUAAAAACUGUAAGUUUGGUUUGGUUCUUUGCUGAGAUCUAGAGUGCCAAGCUUUCUCUCAUACUGAUAACAGAGUUGCUACUCUGGACUUUUACAGGUUUCUUGCUCAACUCUGUGGCAAUUGCAUAAUUCUGCUUCUAAGACUGGAAGAAUUUGCAACUCAGUCUCAAAUUUAAUUUCAUUUCUUCAGGAGUAAGUGCUGGAAUAUUCAUAGUUGUUAUGACUUACACAGUUGCCAAUUUCCGGUAUAAGGGUUCAGAAUUAAGCCAUUUCUGAAGAAGGGUCUAAGCCCGAAACGUCAGUUUUCCUGCUGCUUGGCCUGCUGUGUUCAUUCAGCUCUACACCUUGUUAUCUCAGAAUUAAGUCACGGUUGUUUUUUGCAGCUAUUUGCUCUCAGUUGUGAAAAUAUGCUGAAUCCAAGUUGUACACUUCUGACCUCCUGUUCCAUGUGAAGUAUAAAUUAGCUACUGCCCUAAAGCUUUAUUUACAUCCGUGAUAUUUCAUGAUGUGAGAGAUCAAGUGUAUGGUAAGCCACAGUGUACAAAGGUCUUUAUUCAAACAUACUCCUUGUAUCCCUUAGUACCCAACAAUCUAUCAACUCUUGUGAAUAUAUUCAACGACUGAGAAACCCCAACUUCCUAGGAUAGAGGAUUCUAAAGAUUCACAAUCACUGGUCCUAAAUGGAUAACCUCUUAUUCUGAGACAGAGGGAACAUCAGCAUUUACACUGGCAAGCCCUUAAAGCUUUUACAUCUUUCAGUUAUAUCAUGUCGUUUUUAAAAUUCCAUGGAAGAUAGGUCUAGUUUAUUCAGUUUCUGAAUACCAAAUCCCCUCACAUUAGGAAUCAGCCUCGCAAUAUUCACCAAAGGCAAGUACAUUCAGUGUGAUAUUGCCGUGAUCAUAGCAAAUAAAAUGCUCUUUUGUGAUGUCAUAUCCUCCCUACCCAGCAACCAGGCAAUGGUGGCCAAAAGCUUUUCAGCUAACUUUAUUCUUCUCCUGAACAUGUCACAGUUAUUCAAUCAUACAUGUGUCAACUGUUUAAUUUAUUGUCCCCAAUUGACGUCAAUUUGCAUUCAUAAAGAUUUAUGAUGGAUUUUUUUCUAAAAGAUAUAUUGGGCAUUAGCUUGAAAUCUAAAUCUCAGUACUGCCUGCCAUACCCUAUGAACAAUGUUUGCUUUGAAAGUGAGACUGAAGCCCAGGAAUGGUUUUACUUCAUUGGAUUUCUUGGAAUUGUUCCUUUGGCCUUGUGUCUACAUUUCCUGAUGAGAAAACUGAAAACAAUAAAGAAGAAAGCACAAACUUCAAAUAAGUCUGAAUAUCUGACAGAAAUCUGCACUGCUCCAGAUGUUUCAUUUGAAGACCCCUGUGUUUUACAGACCCUGCAUACACUCGGAGGGAUUCUGGUACAGAGAAGGGAACUGGAGAAAAAACUGAAAACUUUUCAGAAUUCAAAAAGCUCUACACGUAAAAGACUGAGGCACAGGGUAGAGCAAUAGAAUUGUCAAUCACGUAGCAAUUUAUAGCAGUGAAUGGGAUUGUGUAUAUUUAAUAAUUAAGUGAGGCCUGAACUUUGUCCCAAAAGUGACUAAAUUAAAACUGUGCUGAAUAUUG